rnacentral:lncRNA from 1 species
AUUGUUUCAAGUUGGACAAAUUGUCAAGGGCUGAGCUCUCCUUGCGUUCCAUCCCGAGCUGGGACUGCCGUGCUCACCCGGGGUCCCCCAGGUCCUCCGCUCCGAGUGUCGGGCCCGCUUUCGUCAGGGUUCCCGGGCCCCGCUCCCGGGGGCCUGAGCCGCCUCACUAGCGCUCCAUGGAGAACUUCCAAAAGGUGGAGAAGAUUGGAGAGGGCACGUACGGAGUGGUGUACAAAGCCAAAAACAAGUUGACGGGAGAAGUUGUGGCGCUUAAGAAGAUCCGGCUCGACACGUGAGUGGCCUCCGGAGCCGGAACUCCUUUGCCCGGACCUCUUGGCUGUCCCCCUCCCAACCCCCUACCCCAACAGGCGGGUAGCGUCCCCGGACCGGAAGGUAGCGGGGAGGGAGGGAGGGACGCGUGAAGCGAGCGGUGGGUUGGCCGACCGUGGAGGCUCUACCGGAGGAGACUGUCCGGGGCUGGAAUCCAGGGGAAAGUUUCUUGCAGUGCUCCAGCCGGUGUGCUCCCAAAUCUGCUAGCCGAGAGACUUGGGAAGAGAAAGUUGUGGGGUGGGAGCCCGGGAUAGGAGGGGUCCAGGGCUGUUCGUGGAGUUGGGUUAUGUGGUAACCAGAGAAAAGUUCCUUUCUGAAUGGAGAGCUCUCCUCACUGCUCCAGCACCAUACUUAGAACCCUCACUCUCUUUCAAAAGAAUGGCAGUUGAGAUUCACUGGCCCUCAGGGGAGGCCGGGAGCUACUCUCACCCCACUCCCCUAUUACCUUUCUUCUGCUUUUCAUUCACCUGGAGGCUCUUCUUACCUUUCACUGGAAAAAGAGGAAAUAAUGGCCUUAAAUAUGUCUAAAAGCCACACCCUAACUACCCAGAAAUUAACUCCUCACAGCACCUCUCCUGUCUGCCUUCCUAAGGGGGCUGGGGGUUGUGUAUCCCUGAGAGAAUGAUGUUUGUAACCGUAUUCUUGUCUCUGUUUUCCCAACCUCUCCAAGUGAGACUGAAGGUGUACCCAGUACUGCCAUCCGAGAGAUCUCUCUCCUUAAGGAACUUAAUCACCCUAAUAUCGUCAAGUAAGUCUGCUCUGAGAGAUGAUCACUAUGACGAAUUCUGCUUGCUUAGCCUCAGAAUUUCUCUCCUUCAACUCCAUUUCCUGGACCUUCUCUUGCAGGCUGCUGGAUGUCAUCCACACAGAAAAUAAGCUUUAUCUGGUUUUUGAAUUUCUGCACCAGGACCUCAAGAAAUUCAUGGAUGCCUCUGCUCUCACGGGCAUUCCUCUUCCCCUCAUCAAGGUAACCCUGUUCAGUGACAGCCCACAAAUUUUAGGGAAAACUAGAGGCAGGUAAUUCAGUCUGGUAAUUUAUUUUGGCUUUUUCUCAGACUUCAGACACUCCACCUUCUCCUACUCAUUAGUCAUUAACCCUAGGAUGGACAGAAGAAUCAAAAUUGAGGAGCUUCUAUGAGCCGGCAGCUCAGGUGGAAGGAGAUCAGAUAACACUCAGAUAAAGGACACCCCCCACCCCCCCCCCACCCCCCGUUUCUCUGUAUAGCCUUAGCUGUUUGGGAACUCACUCUGUAGACCAGGCUAGCCUCGAACUCAGAAAUCCACCUGCCUCCCAAGUGCUGGGAUUAAAGGCUUGCGCCACCACUGCUUGGCUCAGAUAAAGGAUAUUGAGGGCAGUGGUGGUGGUGGGUUCCUUGAAAAAAUUCUUUUACCUGUGAUAUGGGAAAUGUAACCAGUGAGUCUCUGUUGUCUGUUUUUGAGCUGGGCCCACUCCUAGAACUACUUUGAAUGUAUCAGCAAGUACAUAUUCGACACACAGUUCAGCACCGUCAAUGCGCUAGCCACAGGGUAUUGAAAGGAAGGCAAAACUUGAGUAGUAUCUGGUCUAUAUAUCCUUGGCAGGCUGAAAAUUCAGUGGAAAGACAUUGUUGUUAAAUGUGUGGUUGUGUUGUACUUAUGUGUGUUGGUUCGUGCUUGUAAUCCUAACACUUGGUAGGCUGAGGCAGAAGGAUGUGUGUAAGUACAGAGGAAGCCAAGCUACAAAGUUCUAGGCCAGGAAGACAAUAAUAUCUUUAAAAACAAACAGGGCUGACAAGAUAGCUCAGCAGGUAAAAGAGCCUGCCUCCAAGCCUGAUGACCUGAUGGCCUGAACUCCACCCCCAGGUUCCACACAAGAAGAAAACGGAACUUCUGCAAAUUGUCCUCUGACUUCCACACAUGCGCUGUGGCAUGCCCCUGCCCCCUCUAAAUAAAGAAAUAAAAUGUAACUAAAGAAUUAAACAACCUCCCCAAAAAUGUAUAGUGUAGUUCUCAUCUAACAUAGUUAAGACUUUAUUGAAUUUUGAGGACAAAGAAUAAGUCGUAUCUGCUCAUUGUGAUGGAGAAACAAACCUCCCCCUCUCCUUUGUCAGAGCUAUCUGUUCCAGCUGCUCCAGGGCCUGGCUUUCUGCCAUUCUCACCGUGUCCUUCACCGAGACCUUAAGCCCCAGAACCUGCUUAUCAAUGCAGAGGGGUCCAUCAAGCUGGCAGACUUUGGACUAGCAAGAGCCUUUGGAGUCCCUGUCCGAACUUACACUCAUGAGGUAAGUCCCUUUAUGGUUUUCUUUUACAGUCUUGGGAGAUGUUCAUAACAGCAUUCAGAAAUUACCAGAGUUCUGGGGCAGGAGUUCCUUGGUAAAUGGAAUCUCUGACAACCCAAGGGUCUUUAUUUACGUGUAUAAGUGUUUUGCUUGCAUGUAUAUCUGUACCACACACCUACCUGGUGCUCACAGAAGUCAAAAGAAAGUGUCUGAUACUCUAAUACCCUGGAACUGUAGUUACAGAUUGUAGUAAGCUGUCAUAUGGGUGCUGGGAAUUGAACCUGGGUUCCCUGCAAGAACAAGUGCUCUUAACUGCUGAGCCGUGGCUCUAACUUUUACCCAAAGGGUCUUAAGAUAUGCACUGAAUUCAUACAAGGUUGCCUGGACAGAUACUAGGCCAGGAAAACUGGUUGCUGUAUUGUCUAAAUAUCUCAGAUUUUCCAGGAAGGUCCCAAAUCUGGGGAUUUAGUAUUACACUACUGGAUAGACAGAUGGCUUAAUAGUUAGGAGCAUAUAAUCUUGCAGAUGACCUGAGUUAAGUUUCCAGAGCCCGUGUCUGGCAGUUUGCAGUCACCCCUAACUCCAGCUCCAAGGCAUCAGACACUUUCUUCUGGCUUCUGAGGGCACUGCACAGUUGUGGACACCUACAUAGACGUGCAUAUAUGCACGUUAUUGG